GAUGAACGCUGGCGGCGUGCCUAAUACAUGCAAGUCGAGCGAACAGACGAGGAGCUUGCUCCUCUGACGUUAGCGGCGGACGGGUGAGUAACACGUGGAUAACCUACCUAUAAGACUGGGAUAACUUCGGGAAACCGGAUCUAAUACCGGAUAAUAUAUUGAACCGCAUGGUUCAAUAGUGAAAGACGGUUUUGCUGUCACUUAUAGAUGGAUCCGCGCCGCAUUAGCUAGUUGGUAAGGUAACGGCUUACCAAGGCAACGAUGCGUAGCCGACCUGAGUGAGUGGUAGGCCACAUGGGAAGUGAGACAGGGUCCUGGCUCCUAAGGGAGGCAGCAGUAGGGAAUCGUCCGCAAUAGGCGAGAGCAUGACGGAGCAGCGCGGAGCCAGUGAUGAAAGUCUUCGGAUCGUAAUAAUCUGUUAUUAGGGAAGAACCAAUGUGUACGUAAAUAAGGACGUAUUGACGGUACCUAGUCAGAAAGCAACGGCUAACUACGUG
rnacentral:rRNA from 1 species